GCCUGGGUGGCUCAGUUAGUUGAGCAUCUGACUUCAGCUCAGGUCAUGAUCUCACAGUUUGUGGGUUCGAGCCCCACAUCAGGCU
rnacentral:tRNA from 1 species